rnacentral:rRNA from 1 species
AUUGAACGCUGGCGGCAGGCCUAACACAUGCAAGUCGAACGAGUGGCGGACGGGUGAGUAAUGUUUGGGAAUCUGCCCUAUGGAGGGGGAUAACUACGGGAAACUGUCGCUAAUACCGCAUACCAUCGGAUGUGCCCAGGUGGGAUUAGCUAGUUGGUGGGGUAAUGGCUCACCUAGCCGACGAUCCCUAGCUGGUCUGAGAGGAUGACCAGCCACACUGGAACUGAGACACGGCCCGGACUCCUACGGGAGGCAGCAGUGGGGAAUAGUGCACAAUGGGCGCAAGCCUGAUGCAGCCAUGCCGCGUGUAUGAAGAAGGCCUUCGGGUUGUAAAGUACUUUCAGGGAGGAGGCGUUACUCGCAGAAGAAGCACCGGCUAACUCCGUGCCAGCAGCCGCGGUAAUAC